GGUGGGCGCGAGAGAGCCUAGAAGCCCAUGUAGCCGCGAAUCCCGCAGCCCCAAUACACCUCCCUCCGUGCCUCCCCGCCUUUUCUGCAGAGCUCCGCCCUGGAGUGAAGGAGGAGGCGUCACCUGGAGCUCCGAAAAAAGCAGAAGAAGGCGCUUUUUAUUUAGCCAGUGUGACCCCGCCAGGGCCUUCUCGGUUGGGUGAGCACUCUCUUUGACCAGGCCAUGAAAAGAAAAAUCUGUGCGAUGCCUCCCCACAUGUCACGGGACUCUGAAUUGCCUUUGUCGUCAGAGUUUGCAGAACUUUGGGGGACCUGAGAGGGGAGUGCCCCCUGGACGGGCCACGGCUGUCUGUGGCUUAAGGGCUUUUGGAAGGGCGGAGAGAGGGAAACAGGACGUCCUAGUGGCCUGCUUCAGGGCCACCCACGGGCCCUCCCCCAACCUCUCUCUGAUCCAACUUGUUUUUCCAGCCUAGUUGGAAACUUGUGGAUGCUGUGACCUCAAGAAGACUUGGCAUUUUAUUUGGAAGAUAGGCAUCUAUUUGCAACUGUCCUGAGCCCCUAUUUUCCUCCCACCUUUCUUGGGGAAACUUGUUUUUAAGGGGUGCCACUGUUUUUGUAACAUGUUGCUCCUAGCUCUUAGCAUUCAUGGUACUGUUGUAACCGUCCAGUGGGUUCACUUUGCCUGCUAGAUAGAGCCGAUUUAUCAAGACGGGGAUUACAAUGGAGAAAGAGUAAUUCACGCAGAGCCGGCUUUGCAGAUAAAACUCUGCAAAGACAAUGUCUAGCAAUUAUAUCUCCAGUAACUCCUGUCAAGGUUUAUUGUUGCUUGUUCAUCAUUGCAGUCCUGACUACAAGUGUGAUUGCACUUUCUAUUGUUUUGUCAGAAUUUCCUGAAAAGAUACAAAGGCCCUUCUGACCAUUGGA
rnacentral:lncRNA from 1 species